CACUCUUGCCACCUAAGCCUCCCAAAGUGCUGGGAUUACAGGUGCCUGUUCUGGCUUCUGGCCAGAGGCUACCCUUCUCAGCCUGUCAGAAUGACCACCGCGCAGGCUGCAACGCUGUAUGAGAAAAAGCUCUCCUUUCCAAAUAUAUGAACCUCGUCGUUCUUCAGUUGACUAGACAAAGCAGGCAGGUAGGAGGGAAAAGGAAGAGGAACUUCACUUUCAUUUUUACAAGCCGUUUUUCCUGUUCAUUAAAUCUAAUUCAGAAAAUGUCAGCUGAGUACCUCCUCUAGCUUGGGCACUGUGUGAGCUUCUGGGAAGCAAACAUGAAUAAAAUGCAUUCCCUUGCCUGCCUCCCAGAGCUCGCUGGCUUUUGUAUUAUAAUAGGCUCGAAAGCUUCUAGAAUAAACCUUGGUGAAGAAAACAAUUGUUAUGUAUAUCAUGCAAUUUCCCCUUAAUUGAUCCAUUAUAUAAAGGCAGAAUUUUUAUAUUUUGAAUAAAAUUAGAAACAAUCCAUUUGGUGGGCCAGUUUUAGACUAACUGAUGAUUUCUGAAAAUAAUUUCCGGAGGCUUGAGAAGCUGGUUAGUCAAAUUGGACAGAAUAUAAAGUUUUGAAAACAGGCCAUGGUGUCUACUGGGGGGGGUCUUCUUGCACUCGGCAGGUUCUUUGUGGGCUGAUGGUGAAAAAGAAGCUGCUCUCGCUCUUGCAGAAGUUACAGCUGAGAAGGGGACACAUGAAGGAAAGCACUCAAAGCAACACAAGAUGAACACUGAGGCUUCAGGUGUGGGCAAGGAGCUAGGGCAGCAUGAGGGGAGAUCCAGCCGUUAUGGGAACUUCAAGGGGAGAGGGGGCUUGAGGAAUGAGAGGGACUUUGUUAUGAGAAAAGGAUGAGGCUAGCAGACACUCCAGGCAGAGGGGACAAAGCCGAGUGCCGGGAUUAAUUUUAUGUGCCAGCCUGACUAGGUCACAGGCUGCCUAGAGAGCUGGUACAACACGAUUUCUGGGUGUGUCUGUGAGGGUGUUUAAGAGACUGGCAUUUGAAUCAGUACACAGAAUAAAGUGGAUUGCCCCUACUAGUACAGACAGGUAUCAUCCCAUCUGCUGAGGGCCUGAACAGAACAGAAAGGGAGAGGAAGGGCAGAUGGGCUUUCUUUCCUUGAGUGGGCCAUCCCUCUUCUACCCUCGGACAUCAGUGCUCCUGGUUUCCGGGCCUUCAGACACAAAUAGUGAGAGACAGGACUAGCUGGAUUUCCUAGGCUGACUAAGAAUUCCUAAGCCUAGCUGGGGAAGGUGACCGCACCUACCUUUAAACACGGGGCUUGUAACUCAGCCCACACCUGACCAAUCAGGUAGUAAAGAGGGCUCACUAAAAUACAAAUUAGGCUAAAAGCAGGAGGUAAAGAAAGAGCCAAUCAUCUGUCACCUGAGCGCACAGGGGGAGGGACAAUGAUUGGGAUAGAAACUUCAGGCAUUGGAGCUGGGAGUGGGGGGCAACCCCCUUUGGGUCCCCUCCCAUUGUAUGGGAGCUCUGUUUUCACUCUAUUAAAUCUUCCAGCUGCA